UGGAAAACGGUGUUCCCGGUGCUCUGGGGCAUUUCCCGAGGGCCAAGACUUUUUGGAUUUGUGCAUCACUGGAAGAAGAAGCAUAGUAUAUUUAUCGUUUCGGAUUGGAUCAUCUGCACAUCAACAUGUCAUGUCAUCUUGAUCGUGUCCAGUCCUGAUCAAGUUCGGGAGCGAUGUCGGGAGACAGAAGACUGUCGGAGAUGCCACGUCGAGAUCCUUCCGGCGGCAGCGGCGGCCCGUCGCAUGGCAGCUCGGGGGCCUCGGCACGCUCCCUGGGUCUGCCGUACUUGCCACCGACAAACCCGGCCAUGGCGCGUCAGCUGCAGGAGCGGCUGCUGGUGCCACCCGGUCUCAAGGAGCGACUAAGACAGGACCCGCUGCGGCUCCCGCGAGCUCCCGGAGCUAUUGCACCGGGAAAGAAAUCGACCCGACCCUUCCAGCUAUCGCCACUGGAAUGGCCCGGACAAAUCCGAAGUGGCAAGCGCGGUCACGGCUGCGCGUCUUACG